rnacentral:rRNA from 1 species
AGCGAACGCUGGCGGCAGGCUUAACACAUGCAAGUCGAGCGGCCGUAGCAAUACGGCAGCGGCAGACGGGAGAGUAACACGUGGGAACGUACCCUUUGGUUCGGAACAACCCAGGGAAACUUGGGCUAAUACCGGAUAAGUCCGUAAGGAGAAAGAUUUAUCGCCGGAGGAUCGGCCCGCGUCUGAUUAGCUUGUUGGUGAGGUAACGGCUCACCAAGGCGACGAUCAGUAGCUGGUCUGAGAGGAUGAUCAGCCUCACUGGGACUGAGACACGGCCCAGACUCCUACGGGAGGCAGCAGUGGGGAAUAUUGGACAAUGGGCGCAAGCCUGAUCCAGCCAUGCCGCGUGGAUGAUGAAGGCCUUAGGGUUGUAAAGUCCUUUCGGCGGGGAAGAUAAUGACGGUACCCGCAGAAGAAGCCCCGGCUAACUUCGUGCCAGCCGCCGCCGUAACAC